rnacentral:rRNA from 1 species
UACGUAGGGUGCGAGCGUUAAUCGGAAUUACUGGGCGUAAAGCGUGCGCAGGCGGUGAUGUAAGACCGAUGUGAAAUCCCCGGGCUUAACCUGGGAACUGCAUUUGUGACUGCAUGGCUGGAGUGCGGCAGAGGGGGAUGGAAUUCCGCGUGUAGCAGUGAAAUGCGUAGAUAUGCGGAGGAACACCGAUGGCGAAGGCGGCAUCCUGGACCACGACUGACGCUGAGUGAGCGAAAGCCAGGGGAGCAAACGGG